GAUCAUGGCUCGGGAUGAACGCUGGCGGCGUGCCUAAUACAUGCAAGUAGAACGCUGAAGCUUGGUGCUUGCACCGAGCGGAUGAGUUGCGAACGGGUGAGUAACGCGUAGGUAACCUGCCUCUUAGCGGGGGAUAACUAUUGGAAACGAUAGCUAAUACCGCAUAAAAGUCGACAUUGCAUGAUCUUGACUUGAAAGGUGCAAUUGCAUCACUAAGAGAUGG
rnacentral:rRNA from 1 species